rnacentral:rRNA from 1 species
UACAGAGGAGCCAAGCGUUGUCCGGAUUGACUGGGCGUAAAGCGCACGCAGGCGGUUGCGCGCGUGGGGUGUGAAAUCUGGCCGCUUAACGGCCAGGCGCCAUCCCAUACGGCGCGACUGGAGCGAUGCAGAGGUCGGUGGAAUUGCCGGUGUAGUGGUGAAAUGCGUAGAGAUCGGCAGGAACACCCAGGGGGAAACCAGCCGGACU